GAUUCUGUGGUGUAAUGGUAAGCACUUUCGACUUUGAAUCCAAGGGUGCGAGUUCAAGUCUCGGCAGAACCU
rnacentral:tRNA from 1 species